AAUGCACCAAUUUGUAAGUCGCUUUGGAUAAGUGCGUCUGCUAAAUGACGUAAA
rfam:Salmo salar isolate Sally breed double haploid chromosome ssa22, whole genome shotgun sequence.